rnacentral:rRNA from 1 species
UACGAAGGGUGCAAGCGUUACUCGGAAUUACUGGGCGUAAAGCGUGCGUAGGUGGUUCGUUAAGUCUGUCGUGAAAGCCCCGGGCUCAACCUGGGAAUGGCGAUGGAUACUGGCGAGCUAGAGUGCGGUAGAGGAGAGUGGAAUUCCCGGGUGUAGCAGUGAAAUGCGUAGAGAUCGGGAGGAACAUCAGUUGCGAAGGCGGCUCUCUGGACCAGCACUGACACUGAGGCACGAAAGCGUGGGGAGCAAACAGGG